rnacentral:rRNA from 1 species
AUUGAACGCUGGCGGCAGGCCUAACACAUGCAAGUCGAGCGGAUGAAGGGAGCUUGCUCCUGGAUUCAGCGGCGGACGGGUGAGUAAUGCCUAGGAAUCUGCCUGGUAGUGGGGGAUAACGUCCGGAAACGGGCGCUAAUACCGCAUACGUCCUGAGGGAGAAAGUGGGGGAUCUUCGGACCUCACGCUAUCAGAUAAGCCUAGGUCGGAUUAGCUAGUUGGUGGGGUAAAGGCCUACCAAGGCGACGAUCCGUAACUGGUCUGAGAGGAUGAUCAGUCACACUGGAACUGAGACACGGUCCAGACUCCUACGGGAGGCAGCAGUAGGGAAUAUUGGACAAUGGGCGAAAGCCUGAUCCAGCCAUGCCGCGUGUGUGAAGAAGGUCUUCGGAUUGUAAAGCACUUUAAGUUGGGAGGAAGGGCAGUAAGUUAAUACCUUGCUGUUUUGACGUUACCAACAGAAUAAGCACCGGCUAACUUCGUG